rnacentral:lncRNA from 10 species
CAGCGAGGGAACAGUAUAGAUGUUGAAGUCAUUGAAUUUGACAGAUAAAAGGAGUGGUCUAGGAAAAUGAAGUGAUUCACUGAGAAGUUCCAAAUCUGUGGUUUAGCUAGGCACAACUUAAAAUGCUUCACUGUCUCACCAGGAUAAAGGACAACCUCAGAAUAGCAUACAAAGAACUUCAGAUCUAUCCUUCUCAGCCUGCUCCUGUGUUUAUGCUGUAGAGUCCAUUUGAAACCAGCACAUCUGAGAGAGCAAAACAUUCUAUACUAUAAAAACACAGAAGAAAAAUGGAUUAAGUUGAGGAUAAAAGUGAACAGAGAAAAUAACAAUGGGCUUUGUUGCCACGCUGGAGGAAUAGCUUGUCAGGUCAGCUUUGCAGAGAGGCAUAUUCCCAAACCAGUCAUCAUUAACAGACUCACUUCCACAGGAAAAAAAAAAAAAAAAAAAAGACAGAGUCUGAAAACUCCGGACAAAAGAAAUCCCUGCAGACAAAGUAAAAACAAAUUAAAAGACCCAUUAUAAAACACAGAUGCUACAAGGAAAAUAAACUUUCUAAGAUUUACUGGGCUUUGACAAACUUGGACAUUUGUGGAAAAGACAUCAGCAGCAACUCCCAGGUAAUGUGGCUGCAAAGUUAGACUCCCUUCUGUUUUAUCUUUACCCUCUGUGCAGAAGCUGCCAGAUGAGAAUGUCAAGCUUCCCAGCUGCAGUUCCAGGACUUUCACCCUCCUUUAUGACCUUUUCUCAGGCAUGUUCCAGUAUAAUCUGCAAUCUACUCAAGUCGGAAAAGGAAACAGCAGCACCCUGGUGAGAAACAGUGCCUUCUGACCCACAUACCAAACUGGGCGGAAGCAAUGCUUGUUCACAGGAGCCAAGGAGAGUAGAACACACACUAAAAGAAAAUGAAUUUUAUGUGUGUGUGUGUGUGUGUGUGUCGACACACAGACACACAUUUUUAAAGACUAUAAACACAACAAACAGUUUGGGUGACAAAUAAAGACAGAAAAUACUGAAGGACAAUCCUGUGUGGGCACUGAUUCAUUUUGCCUAUAACUUUUUUUUGGAGGCAAUCGAUGGUGAAGUAAAAACACUGCAAUUUUUGAUGCAUUUCAAGCAAAAACACUUGUUGCUUUCUUUGAGUAAAAAGUUCACGUCACCAUAGACAUUACUGUAGGUACUUUGAGAAAGGGUGAGAAGGUAGGAAGAUUAGAGAAAUCUCCCACAAAAUGGACUUGAAAACAAGAAUCCAAUCUUUCUUUUUUUUUUUUAAACAGGAUGGGGAUUGAGAUUAUUAAUGA